rnacentral:rRNA from 1 species
AUGUGGAGCCGUAGCGAAAGCGAGUCUGAAUAGGGCGAAUGAGUAUUUGGUCGUAGACCCGAAACCAGGUGAUCUACCCUUGGUCAGGUUGAAGUUCAGGUAACACUGAAUGGAGGACCGAACCGACUUACGUUGAAAAGUGAGCGGAUGAACUGAGGGUAGCGGAGAAAUUCCAAUCGAACUUGGAGAUAGCUGGUUCUCUCCGAAAUAGCUUUAGGGCUAGCCUCAAGUGAUGAUUAUUGGAGGUAGAGCACUGUUUGGACGAGGGGCCCCUCUCGGGUUACCGAAUUCAGACAAACUCCGAAUGCCAAAUAAUUUAACUUGGGAGUCAGAAUGUGGGUGAUAAGGUCCAUAUUCGAAAGGGAAACAGCCCAGACCACCAGCUAAGGUCCCAAAAUAUAUGUUAAGUGGAAAAGGAUGUGGCGUUGCCCAGACAACUAGGAUGUUGGCUUAGAAGCAGCCAUCAUUUAAAGAGUGCGUAAUAGCUCACUAGUCGAGUGACACUGCGCCGAAAAUGUACCGGGGCUAAACAUAUUACCGAAGCUGUGGAUUGUCCUUUGGACAAUGGUAGGAGAGCGUUCUAAGGGCGUUGAAGCAUGAUCGCAAGGACAUGUGGAGCGCUUAGAAGUGAGAAUGCCGGUGUGAGUAGCGAAAGACGGGUGAGAAUCCCGUCCACCGAUUGACUAAGGUUUCCAGAGGAAGGCUCGUCCGCUCUGGGUUAGUCGGGUCCUAAGCUGAGGCCGACAGGCGUAGGCGAUGGAUAACAGGUUGAUAUUCCUGUACCACCAUUAUUCGUUUUAAGCGAUGGGGGGACGCAGUAGGAUAGGCGAAGCGUGCUGUUGGAGUGCACGUCCAAGCAGUGAGAUUGAGUGUUAGGCAAAUCCGGCACUCUUAAGAUUGAGCUGUGAUGGGGAGAGGAACUUGUUCCUCGAGUCGUUGAUUUCACACUGCCGAGAAAAGCCUCUAGCUAGAAUAACGGUGCCCGUACCGCAAACCGACACAGGUAGUCAAGAUGAGAAUUCUAAGGUGAGCGAGCGAACUCUCGUUAAGGAACUCGGCAAAAUGACCCCGUAACUUCGGGAGAAGGGGUGCUCUUUGAGGUUCACGCUUCGAAGAGCCGCAGUGAAUAGGCCCAAGCGACUGUUUAUCAAAAACACAGGUCUCUGCUAAACCGUAAGGUGACGUAUAGGGGCUGACGCCUGCCCGGUGCUGGAAGGUUAAGAGGAGUGGUUAGCGCAAGCGAAGCUACGAAUCGAAGCCCCAGUAAACGGCGGCCGUAACUAUAACGGUCCUAAGGUAGCGAAAUUCCUUGUCGGGUAAGUUCCGACCCGCACGAAAGGCGUAACGAUUUGGGCACUGUCUCAACGAGAGACUCGGUGAAAUCAUAGUACCGGUGAAGAUGCCGGUUACCCGCGACAGGACGGAAAGACCCCGUGGAGCUUUACUGUAGCCUGAUAUUGAAAUUCGGUACAGUUUGUACAGGAUAGGUAGGAGCCUUAGAAGCGUGAGCGCUAGCUUACGUGGAGGCAUUGGUGGGAUACUACCCUAAUUGUAUUGGAUUUCUAACCCGCAGCACUUAUCGUGCUGGGAGACAGUGUCAGGCGGGCAGUUUGACUGGGGCGGUCGCCUCCUAAAGAGUAACGGAGGCGCUCAAAGGUUCCCUCAGAAUGGUUGGAAAUCAUUCAUAGAGUGUAAAGGCAUAAGGGAGCUUGACUGCGAGACCUACAAGUCGAGCAGGGUCGAAAGACGGACUUAGUGAUCCGGUGGUUCCGCAUGGAAGGGCCAUCGCUCAACGGAUAAAAGCUACCCCGGGGAUAACAGGCUUAUCUCCCCCAAGAGUUCACAUCGACGGGGAGGUUUGGCACCUCGAUGUCGGCUCAUCGCAUCCUGGGGCUGUAGUCGGUCCCAAGGGUUGGGCUGUUCGCCCAUUAAAGCGGUACGCGAGCUGGGUUCAGAACGUCGUGAGACAGUUCGGUCCCUAUCCGUCGUGGGCGUAGGAAAUUUGAGAGGAGCUGUCCUUAGUACGAGAGGACCGGGAUGGACAUACCUCUGGUGUACCAGUUGUCGUGCCAACGGCAUAGCUGGGUAGCUAUGUAUGGACGGGAUAAGUGCUGAAAGCAUCUAAGCAUGAAGCCCCCCUCGAGAUGAGAUUUCCCAACUUCGGUUAUAAGAUCCCUCAAAGAUGAUGAGGUGAAUAGGUUCGAGGUGGAAGCGUAGCGAUACGUGGAGCUGACGAAUACUAAUCGAUCGAAGACUUAAUCAAUAU